rnacentral:rRNA from 1 species
GACGAACGCUGGCGGCGUGCCUAAUACAUGCAAGUAGAACGCUGAAGGAGGAGCUUGCUUCUCUGGAUGAGUUGCGAACGGGUGAGUAACGCGUAGGUAACCUGCCUGGUAGCGGGGGAUAACUAUUGGAAACGAUAGCUAAUACCGCAUAAUAGUAGAUGUUGCAUGACAUUUGCUUAAAAGGUGCAAUUGCAUCACUACCAGAUGGACCUGCGUUGUAUUAGCUAGUUGGUGGGGUAACGGCUCACCAAGGCGACGAUACAUAGCCGACCUGAGAGGGUGAUCGGCCACACUGGGACUAAGACACGGCCCAGACUCCUACGGGAGGCAGCAGUAGGGAAUCUUCGGCAAUAGACGGAAGUCUGACCGAGCAACGCCGCGUGAGUGAAGAAGGUUUUCGGAUCGUAAAGCUCUGUUGUAAGAGAAGAACGAGUGUGAGAGUGGAAAGUUCACACUGUGACGGUAUCUUACCAGAAAGGGACGGCUAACUACGUG